UGAAUGCAUAAAUCCUGAACAAAUUCGAUUAAAGUACAGGCGAUGCUAAGGUCGCUAACCUGAGGUCAGUAGUGGUGUAACGUCAACAAUGCGAGACGAGACGAGAUAGUUAAGGCACGGCCCCGAAACGCAGCUGGAAUCUGGAAGCGUGAACAAGCAGCCGACAUUACAGACUGACACAUACCGUGUGCGCGCGACAGCAGCGUGAGCUCCAUACGGCUGAUAAAGGGGAACGGAGAGGGCGGCAAAUGGCAAGCGAAAGGGGAUGAGAUCACUCACAAAAGUAGACUUUUGUAAUCCGGUGGGCCGCGUAACGGCAGCGCGCGUGUACUUUAGUAUUAAACCACCUCUUUGUCUUCUUUGUGUGGUUUUAGCAGAGCAGAAGUACAGCGAGGAGAGAGCUCGGAACAGUUGGCGCACAACCGGAGACAAGCCUGGGACGCCGUACAUGCAUUAAAGCAUGGUGAUUGGUAAAUUCCUGCACUGUUUAAAAGAUUAAGACUAUGGAACUGAGGUCACUGGAAACACAGGAAGAAGAGAAAACAGAGGGAAAGAUCUGAUACCAUUGCAUGCUGUCCUUGUUCCUCAUGAAAUGGCCUGCUGCAGGGAGGCAUGAGGACUGCAGAUGUGGCAAGAGCAAUAAACUGCAACGUCUGUAAUGUAAGAUGCCUAAGACAGUGUUACAGGGAGAAAGGAAGCACAGCUCAUCGUCCUUGCAGUGGAAAAUUACAUGUAACCAUGUCUCCCCAGAAGUGAUUGAGAAUUUGCAAAUGCCUUGGUGGAAGAGUGGAGUAACAUCGCACAGCAAGAACUGACAAAUCUGGUGCAGUCCAUGAAGAUGAGAUGCACUGUAAGUACUUAAAGCAGCUGGUGGCCACACCACAUACUGACUGUUACUUUUGGUAUUAACCCACCCCAGGGACUCAUUCCAUUUCUGUUCGUCAAAUGUCUGUGAAACUUGUUCAGUUUCUGUCUCAGUUGUUGAAUGUUUUUAUGUUAAUACAAAUAUUUACACAUGUUAAGAAAUUUGCUGGAAAUAAAAGCAGUUGAAUGUGAGAAGAUGUUUCGUUUUUUGUUGAGUAUAUGUCAAAUUAUUCAUGCUUCAACAAACAUAUACACACAUGUAGCUCCCCCUAUUGACCGGCAUGUGCAGCUGAAUGUCAGUGUUGAAUAUUACAUGGGCAAUCACCACUCACAUUUCUUCAGAAAAUGUAAAGUCUAGUUCUGCUUCUUCUUCUGAAGAAGAAGAUAAAUAUUUGCAUAGGGUUUAUUUAUACAUUUAUUAAAUACAUUUAUUAAAACUCCACAUUACCUUCACAUUUCAAUCUAAUAACCAUUUUAAACUCUUCAUACCAGCUUUGUCAAGUCAACAUCAAAGUUUGUCCUCAAACUUUACCUAUCUAGUUAUUUUUCCUCUUCUUCUGAGACAGUUCAUUUCUGUAUGCUACUCCCCUCAUAGCUUUCAAGCUACAGCCAGCAAACUCUGUAGAGAACUUCAGUCUACUCUUAAGUUGCUAUAUCUUUUCCAAUUGAUCUGAUUUACGGUUUUCCUGUUACGGAAGCUCAAAAUGUCCAAAUUUCUGAUAGAAUUCCAUUCAAAAUUUCUGACUGUUAUAACUCCUUGUGCUUUCAAGCUACUUCCACCAAACCAGAAAAGUCCUUCAGGCCGUUGAGACUGAUCAUGCUCUAUUUUCGGUAACUGCUCGGUUUUUGUGUAGUGGACAAUCAAAAAUACCCAAAACUCCUGUACACUUGCACUGACUUGAAUGUUCAGAGCCUGGCUCGGAAUGUUUAACAUUUCAAACACCAGCUGUCAAAUCUCUGCUUGAAACCCCUUUUCUCUCCCUCUCACCCUCUCACUUAUGUACACAUAACAGAUACUCACUCCAUCCAUCUAUCUAUGUAUCUAUUCAACUCUACGCGUAUUGGCACCCUAUAUGUAUACUUUCAGACUUGACUGGAUAGAUAGAUAGGUAGGGUGCCAAUACUUGUAGAGUUGAAUAGCUAGAUAGUUCGUUUUGGCACCCUAUCUAUCCAGUGAACUCUACAAGUAUUGGUACCCUAUCUAUCUAACUACAACUACUGGCACUCUGACUUUAUCUAUCUAUCUAUCUAUCUAUCUAUCUAUCUAUCUAAUCAACUCUACAAGUAUUGGCAUCCUGUGUGUCGGGCUGUCUCUCUAAUCAACUCUAUAAGUAUUGGGACCCUAUCUAUUCAACUCUACAAAUAUUGGCACCCUAUCUAUCUAACUACAAGUAUCAGCAACUUAUCUAUCUAUCUGACGCUAGAAGUACUGGCACCCUAUCUAGCUAAUCAACUCUAAAAGCAUUGUCUGUCUCUAUCAACUCUACAGAUAUUGGCACCCUAUCUAUCUGUCUCUCUUUCUUUCUUAAAACUGUACAUUGCCUUCACAUUUCAAACUGAUAACUAUUUUAAACUUUCAGAUUUGCUUUGUCUAGCCAACAUCAAAGUUUUUCCUCAAACUGUGCAUAGCUAGUUAUAAUUAUUGUUCUUUCAGACAAAUGUUUGGCACGCAACCUUUUGUGUUAUGGACAUGCUUUUGACUUUUAAGCGAACAGCCUAACAAUGUUCGAACUGCGGACAAAAAAACUCUUGUGUUUUCAACCCAUAGAGAAUCAAUGGGGAAUAAAACACAGGUGUCACAGCUUGGACCUUGUUCGCCUGUCAUGCUCUUGUCAUAUAUCCUCUUGUAAAUCUUAGGGACUAGACCUGGCUAAAAUGCAAUGUAGCUCCCCCUACUGACUGGCAUAUGUGGCUGCAUGUCCGUGUUGAAUUUUGCGCCAUUCACAUUUUCUUCAGAAAGUGUCGAAUCUAGUUCUUCUUGUUCUAGACAAAAUUCUGGCAUUUUGAAUCUGAAUUACAUGUCCAAGUGUUUAGCUUGGUCCAGAGAAUCAGGAAAUCCCAUAUGGGAAUUGAUUCCACAUGCACGGUGCGUGGAAUGUUCCAUUGGGUUUCACAGUACACACAAUUAUGUUUAAAAAAAAAAACAAUGAGCCUAGAGAAGCAAACAGAGAUUCCAUUUAGAUCUCUAUCGGAAAUCGGUGAAAGCAGUGGUCACCUUGAAGACUAUCCAUGGUUACAUCUGUGGCAUAACAGAUAUAACUCCAGCACUGUCAGUACAGCAUUCGAGUCCCCGAUGCUUUAUGGGAUAAUGACUUGCCAUUGGUCUACAUUGUAUCGUAGUCAAUAUGCCAUAACUCAUUAGGGACUCGGAGUGCACUGGAUUUCCACUCCUCCUGGAUCGAUCCUUUUGAAUUUCAUUCAUCCACACAUUUUCUUUGACUGGCACGCAGAUGUAACCAUUGUUAGCCUUGAAGACAACCUUCAACAAAAGAAACAAAUUCACAAAAUCUUCACCACCUACAUUUUAAACACACAAACAUGAUAUGUAACAUUUUGUCAUAAUAUUCUGACUUUAUUCUCUAAAUAUUGCAACACUAUUCUCAUAAUCUUAUUGUUUUUGUUUUUAACAGUUGUCCUAAAACACUGUCAUAAAUGAGAGACAAGGUCUGUCUGAAAAAUACACUUGAAAAUCUUGGCUGAAUAGUUAUACAUGAUUGUUUUUCCUACAUACACCAGAUACCUCCAUCACGCUGACUUCCUCAGCGUUGGGCCUUUUUUUUCCUUCUGAUUCAUAGAAAAAAAAUUGAAGAGUCAUGUGUUGUCAUACAGCCAGUCAAAUCACAGAAAAAGGUGAUGCAGUAAAGCAGCAGUGGAAAAGGGGAACGCCACAACUUUCAGAUAGAUGACACAGUGCAGGAGACCGAAAAGGGGAGUGAGAAAGGCAGAGAGCAAGAGGGCAAGUGAGAGAAAUGGUAGUGCAUGAAAUAUCUCACUAGAUGGUAUUCCCUUAAUUAGCAAAGUGAUAACAUUGUCCUGUUGUAUGUCCUUACAUUUCCUGUUUAUCUAGUGCCCCCUAUAAGCCAGUUGUAGAAAAUGUUCAAUAAAAUGUUAUGAUGCGAUUCUGUCCAAGAACCAUUUUUCAAACCUGAGUGAAAUGAGUCAGGUUAAAAAAAAAUACACUAACUCAUGUUUAACUUCCCACUACCUGAACCUAAGGCGAGCUUAUGUGUCUGGUGGGUCUCCUUUUUCCAUGUCACAUCAGCCUACCACACUGAUGAUACAACUGCCCACCAACACAAUAUAGAGUAUAAGCCUUUCUGUCAUUUUUUUUUUUUU